GACAAGCAAAUGCUGAAGGUCCUUGAAAUUGCUUGCAAGUGUGUCGACUACAAUGCAUGCAUGAGGCCGACCAUACAGGAAGUGAUCUCCUGCCUCGACAGUAUUGACCCCAACCUGCAGAUGCAAAAUUCAGUUAGGAUAGAACGCAGUUAAACAUGAUACGCUUGUAGUCCGUUAUUUUUGUACAGUUUCUGACAUAUUGUUAUUUUAGGCAAAUUUUCUGUAAUUCAGUGAUUGCCUUUUUUUCAUUUCCCCAAAUUAUUCUGUAGCAUGAGAAACAAAGAAGACCAUGGCAGCAUGAUAUGUUGGGAAAACCAUGGCAAAGAAGAAUUGGCUUGAAGAGUGAGACCUGACAUACUCUCAGGAGUUAAUUGCAUGGCCAAAUGCCCAAUCACAUAAAACUGCUGUGCUAAUGCUAUCUCAACACAAGUCAUUAAAAUGAGGAAAAGACAGCUAUAUCACCAGUAUUAUCAUAUGUAAAUAUCAUGCAACAGAUAGUGAAAAGGGAAGGAAAACAAGGACUAGCCAGCUACGUCAACAUAGAUUUUUCUUUACAGAAAACAGACGGCAUCGAUAGAGGCACUAAAAUCUGAAGCUAGCUUCCAAGUUCUAAUAUAGCCCUUUUCUGCCGCAUUUCUGCAGGGACCACAUCUGUGUUGGGUUUUAUGCUUAAAACUCAAUGCCCGCAUGGGAGUUCGAUUCGAGCUAACCCUUCAGGAAUUCUAGGAGAACUAAGGGGGCGUUUUCUUCCCGUGUCUUAUUUUUAGCACGUGUCACAUCGAAUGUUUAGAUACUAAUUAGGAGUAGUAAACGUAGACUAUUUACAAAACCAAUUACAUAAGUGGAAUCUAAACGGCGAGACGAAUCUAUUAAGCCUAAUUAAGCCUAAUUAAUCCAUCAUUAGCAAAUAUUUACUGUAGCAAUACAUUGUCAAAUCAUGGACUAAUUAGGCUUAAUAGAUUCGUCUCGCCGUUUAGAUUCGUCUUAUGUAAUGGGUUUUGUAAAUAGUCUACGUUUAAUACUCCUAAUUAGUAUCUAAACAUUCGAUGUGACGGGUGCUAAAGUUUAGCAAGUGGAAGAAAACAGGCCCUAAAAUCCGCAACUAGAAAAUGGAGAAGAGAUGGGCGAACAAAUUCAGUAGUACGAACUACGAAGCUAAGAACACACAUGGAUACUGGUUCAAGUAGUGAACGGAUAAGCUGCGGAGACCAGACUGACCCUUGCAGCUGCGGCCGGGUGCUCGGCGGAGAGACCACGGCGCCGCCGUUCGCCGUCGCCGGCUCCGGCCAGGAGUUUUCUUUUUUCUUUUUCCUUUUUUUAGCGGAGAGGACGGG
rnacentral:lncRNA from 1 species